UUCUGGCUAGCUCAGUUGGUAGAGCGUUCCACUUGAAAUGAAGAGGUCCCUGGUUCGAUACCAGGACCAGGCG
rnacentral:tRNA from 2 species